rnacentral:rRNA from 1 species
GAUGAACGCUGGCGGCGUGCCUAAUACAUGCAAGUCGAGCGAACAGACGAGGAGCUUGCUCCUCUGACGUUAGCGGCGGACGGGUGAGUAACACGUGGAUAACCUACCUAUAAGACUGGGAUAACUUCGGGAAACCGGAGCUAAUACCGGAUAAUAUAUUGAACCGCAUGGUUCAAUAGUGAAAGACGGUUUUGCUGUCACUUAUAGAUGGAUCCGCGCCGCAUUAGCUAGUUGGUAAGGUAACGGCUUACCAAGGCGACGAUGCGUAGCCGACCUGAGAGGGUGAUCGGCCACACUGGAACUGAGACACGGUCCAGACUCCUACGGGAGGCAGCAGUAGGGAAUCUUCCGCAAUGGGCGAAAGCCUGACUGAGCAACGCCGCGUGAGUGAUGAAGGUCUUCGGAUCGUAAAACUCUGUUAUUAGGGAAGAACAAAUGUGUAAGUAACUAUGCACGUCUUGACGGUACCUAAUCAGAAAGCCACGGCUAACUACGUG